rnacentral:rRNA from 1 species
UGCCUACGGGGCGCAUCAGUGAGGAAUAUUGGUCAAUUUUCUUAAGCCUGAACCAGCCAAGUCGCGUGAGGGAAUAAGGCCCUACGGGUCGUAAACCUCUUUUGCCGGGGAGCAAGGGCCGGGACGCGUCCCGGCCCGGAGAGUACCCGGAGAAAAAGCAUCGGCUAACUCCGUGCCAGCAGCCGCGGUAAUACGGAGGAUGCGAGCGUUAUCCGGAUUUAUUGGGUUUAAAGGGUGCGUAGGCGGGCUUUUAAGUCAGCGGUAAAAAUUCGGGGCUCAACCCCGUCCGGCCGUUGAAACUGGGG